rnacentral:lncRNA from 1 species
CGGAGGGCGAGCAAUUAGUUGGAGGGCGAGUAGUGCAGGGCUGACUGAGGGUCGGUGAGGGUGUGGGUGACCGGUGUUCCUGGUAACUGAACACUUUGCGGCUCCUGCUUGCAGACCAGUCUACUUGGUACAAUUAUCUGCUCAAGACACUAAUACAGGAUAAUACACCAAACCUUUCUUCUUGAGAACCUUUUAAUCUACACCCUGUAGGGUAUUUUGGGUACCCCUGUACCUACUUAAUGCUUAGUGAACAGAGCAUCAGGUGAAAAGUUCUGCCCAUUUGUCUGCUUCGACCGGGACUCUUUAACCCGGGCCCUAAGGACUACGACUUCAUGAACUGUCUCCUGUUGCGAGGACCACCUUGAUUCUUGAUGACCAAAAGAGAGUAGACUGAUCUUGCAGUGGAAAGGGAACUACCUCUUGGUGAAGUUUGGGCCUCCUGCCAUUGGAAGCGAGUGGUGUUCAGAGCUGCAGAGGAUUCAGUUGUUUGAAUAUUGCAACGUGGAAAAACGCUUAUGACCCUAAUGAAUACACAAGAACGCGCCAUUGUGACAUCCCGUAUCAAAGGAUUGAGAUGUGAAUUCAACCGAAUUUAAAAGGAAACUUCGUAUUCCGUCCUACAACGCGAUCUUGGACUUGUGAACAAAUUUAAGAACUGGAUCCGUACACGAUGACAUGGAAAGAGGACCUCAGUGAGGCUGAACCACACAAAGAUUAUUAAGCUGUGUAAACUGAAGUCGUGAAGACAUUCACAUCAACGCUGUUAUUGAAUGUGGAAAUGUAAGAUUUUAGAACUGGUCUUUUGUACAGUCAAUUGUGUAUUUCAUUGUAUCUUGUAUGUGAUAUCCUAACAAUUUAUACCAAUUUGUCUAUUUAAAAUAAUAAAAACGUGAGUUUUAUUUAAUAUUUUAACCUGCAUCUGAUGAAUCCAUACUUGACUUGUGAAAGGAGGGAUUAACUACAGUGAACAAUUGUAAGUUGCUUUUACAAAUUUGUAAAGAGUAAUAUCUGAUGUAGUAGGUUGAAAAUACAUGCGUGUAUCCUUUAAUCUAUACCUGUUGUCUUCCCGCCAAACACUGAAACUACGACGUUGGUACAACGUUCGAACAAGUUUUAACACCUCCUAACCAGUUAUAACGACCAAUAUAGCAAGUUGUAACAACGUUCUAAUACGUCAUAAACACGUUAAGCCAAGAUGUAACAACUUUAUUACAAGUCGUAACAAGCGGAAAAUAGACAGUUUCGGUUUGUGUUUCCAGGGUUAUCCUCUGUCCUGUGUGGCAGUGAAUAUUAGCAGCGCCUCACUGUAAUGAGGCAUCGAGGAAUUGCUGAGGUUAUGCAAAAAAAUGUACAUUGUCAAUUAUUCUUACCCUGCUUGAACUAUUCGUGACAGACCACGAUGUUUUGUUAAAUAAAACUUUAAUGCGUUUAAAUUAUCCUAUCUUGGUGACUGUAAUUGUUUAAAUGACAUAUAUUUUUGAGUUCAAAGAGCUACAUGGCCUUCCCGGCUUGGUGCCUUUUUUUGAUAAUUAUUUGUGCCUUUAUUGUAUUUGUUUGAUAAAGCAAUAGAAAGGGUUGAGGACGGGUCUGUCCUAUUCUUUUACUAGCCUCAUCCCACUAAGUGAAGAGGUGGUUGCACCACUAACUACUUUCCAAAGUGUUUGGUAAUAUAGAAAAAUAAAGAAUUAAAAACUUGAAAGAGGAAAGCUCUACUGUAGUUUUACUCUGAAUUCUAAAUAAAAUAAAUAAUUGGUUACUUAUCCUCCAAUAAUUGUUUGUAAACUGUAUUUUUUGUAAACUAUUUCUUGUAGUGCAAAUGAGAAUUUGUAUUUUAAAUAUUUGACUUUAUUUUAAUGUUUUAGAACAUGCCUUUGUAUAUUAGGUUCUUUGAAACACUUGUAAAUUUAUCAUUCUGCUUUAUCCUAUGUUAAAAAAAAAAUUAUUAGUGGGUUAUGUAGAAACAGGUAACAGUUAAGAUGUAUGGAACUAAAUUAAGUAGUUCUAUUUCUUGUUACUUUACGUUUAAGUGUAAGCUAUACAGUGUAACAUAUGACAUAUAUUCAAAAUUGUACAGUAAUUUUAGUUUUACAUUCGGUGGAAAUUGGUGUAAUUCCACUGUUUAAUUGUAGGUCAAUAGUGGUGUUGACAUGGAAACAAGUUGGAAUAAAAAAAUUUGAAUUGUGUUCAAUAAAUUAA